CGCGUCUGUAGAUGGUAUUAGUUGUCAAUUAUUCAUAGGGGUAGUUUCUUUUUUUUCGAAUCUGUUGAAAGUGGUUGAAACUUCAUUUCCGCACAAUCAUAUUUAAUUCAGUUCUAAUAUUUCAGUGGUGAAGAUUGUAGGAUGAUAUCAAGCAAUUUUGCAUAAUCAAUAAUGGAACGAAACGACUAUUGCAAAUUGUUGUUGGAGCGUUGAAUCCAAGCUGAUGCGACCUACAUCGGCGAACCGUUUGACCCAGAAUAACGAAGGUAUACGAACGCUGGUAUAUUCCGAUCCUCGCUUCAAAUGCUGAUCGGUGCCUACAAAAGCCGACACAGAGCCUUAUUUUUGAGGAUCUAAAAAUGCCUCUUCAUGCCCUCACUCAAGUUUCUUUUCAUCCUCUGUGAUCCGCUCGUUUACUUUUGAAAGCGAACAGAUAAGUUACCCGUCUAUUUGUUCAACUGUAACGACUAGAUAAUAUGACACCACUUUUUGCAGACGAAGCAAGGAGAUUUAGAAGACCGCAAUUUGAUUGCGGUAUGUUUCGUUUUUGAUAAUUAGUUCGGGAGAGCUUUCGAAAGUCAAUGGUCGUCCGGUGUUGAAUUAAGAGCAUGGUGAUCGCAUUUUUCUGCCGCAGGGGUUCUUAAGAGCCACCUAAUUUCAACGAAAAAAGAAAUCAGCAUCACCUGCAUUACCCGCUUUUGCCUAAUAUCAAAUUUACUAUUCAUGAAAAAGGUUACGCAUUCUCAACUCACCAUGAAAUCUACAAGAGUUAAUACCUGGAUGAAUUUCAUCGGACGUAAAAUUACCCGAUCUGAUUCCGUACACGUUGACAGGGAAUUGAAACGAGCGUGGAAUACCUGAUGGAUGAAUGCACCGAGGGCGGGUUUUCCAACGCUUAUCUCUACGAGUUUCUGGAUGGGAUCGACAGAUCUUAUUUUAGAUCGGUGAGAUUCCUGAGUAUUGGAUGAAUAAUGAAUGAAGACGACUCUGGAAUGCUUGCUACGGACAUGAGUGUGGGUACGAAAACGUCGCCGCGGACGAAAGCACAGCCUGAUUACUAAUUCCAAUACGACUGACGGUACAUGAGAAAUAAAAAUUCAAAAGAUGCUGCAGCAGAUGGUUGAAAGUCCCAAAAGAACUUGGUUCCAUUCGGCGUACUUUCUCUUCCUGAAGAAGAAGAAUCCAUACAGAGUCGCUUAUUCGAUCUAUGGAAAGUGCAAAUGCGACUGGUCUUUCUUUGUUACUGACGCUACUGACCGAACAAGAUAUAGCAUGACACAUGACGCCGCGAUUCCUCAUGUACCACACGAAUUUAAUUCCGGACGCUACGCAGAGAUGCUCAUGAAAGAGAUGAAAAAAUAAAUGAAACAGAAACUACACGUACUUGAAGUAGCUGCAGGUCAUGCAUUAAAAUUCACGAUUAAGAACCCGGAAUUUUCCCCUCAUGAAAUACUUUCAGAAUUACGCUACAAAAUUCCGGUGUUUUUUUACACCAAAAAUCGUUAAAAAUUCCAGAUAUCGAUCCGGGAAACAAUUUUACUAGUCGUAAUAUAUAAUUUUCAGCACUCUGCGGGAGCAUUGAAUGCUCGACCUUGACCCAAACCGUGACCGCGUUAAGCCUAAUCGAGGUCACUGGAGGUCAUUUUCCCGAAGAAACUAAGUUUCUUUGAUUCGGGCGGUAAUGUGCGAAAGUGGACGAGGCCAGGCGACCGAUUGAAUCUCCAUUAGACCGGAAGUCGAUGCCCCCGUGGUCGAUGGCACGUGUCGGUGAUUGGAAACAGCCAUAUCUAUGUUGUAUUUUACGCUGUACGUAAUUCUCCAGACUACAACGAUUAAACUCAUUAUAUUUUCA